CCAAAAUCUCUGCUCCUGGAGAAAUGCAUCAUGCAGCACAUCUAGUUCUGGAGGCAAGAAAUAAUCAGAUUGCUGGGCCAAAAUCCGGGUAUCCAGAGCCACACUACUUCCAGAGGUCCUAGAGGAGAAUCCAUCCAUUCCUUGAACUCAGAAUUCAAGACGGGAACUCCUAGGCUUGUGACCACAUCACUCCAGUCUUCAAGUACAGCAUCUUCAAACUUGUUCUGCCUUCAGUGUGUUUGUGUGUGUGUGUGUGUGUGUGUGUGUGUGUUUAUAAAAUCUCUCUCUGCCUUCAUUUAUAAGGAUAUAGGUUAUGGCAUUUAGGGGCCACCUGAAUAAUCCAACAUAACCUUCCCAUCUCAAGAUCCUUAGUUUAAUCACACCUGCAAAGACUCUUUUCCCAAAUAAGGUAGCAUUUACAGAUUCUCAGGACCUGAUAUCUUUUGAGGCCUAAGAUCUUUUUGAGGACAGCCCACCACACCUGGGCACAAUGUACAGUGAAUAUAGUUCCCUUAUGACUUAAUGGAGCAAAGCAGUCAUGCAAGCCUUGGAAAUCCUUACUUUGAGAUACUAGGUUGAAGAGAAAUAAACAUAUUUUAAGCCACUGUUACUCUGGGCCUUGUUGAGUUCAAUCAUAAUGAAUCCUAACUGAUAACAGUGAAUAACUGUGAAUAUUUUUAAUUGAAAUAUUACAUUUACCGAAAUGGAGUUGCACAAACUCUAAUGUUAUGUUUCUUUGCUUUGGACUGGAAUUUUAUUGCCUAAUUGGGUAACCCUGGUUAUUUCAUGUUGAAAUACUCUCUGAUACACAGUGGAAAUAAAAUGUAUAACUUUAAAAUAAAGUUUGGUAGAUAGUUUAAAAACUUGAAGUGCCUAGAGAAUACAAAAAUUAAUAUUUAAAAAUCUGAUUGUGGAACUGUUUAGAACCACUGCUCUACAUGAAAGCACAUUAAAUGACUGAACAGUUAUCCUCUUUACCUACUACAUUUUCUCCUAAAGCCUGGUAAGGAGCAAAUUGCAACAGCCUAGACUGAGUCACAAAGACAUGGAUGUUCACAAGAAAACAUGUGCUAAACAAAUACCAUAUUUGGUAAGUACAAGUGGUUAGCAACUGAAAAGCCUUGCUUUGUAAAUAGAAAAUUCCCUCUUUAACCUAAUGGUAAAAGCUGGCAUUUAUUCUGACAUGUUUGUCCAACAGUAAAUUAACAAAAGAGUGGCACUUCUAAUUCUACAAAAUUAAUCCCCAACAAGCUUCCCUGGAUAUCUUCGAGGAUCAGAUACUAUUGGAGAUAACAAACUUAAAAGGUGUUAGAAGAUUGGAACUGUGAAAGACAGCCUCAGCAACCUGUGGAAUUCCAAUGAACAUUUGUGUUUGGUCAUUGCCAUGUAUGUUCUAUUAUUAAGUAACUGUUGGGUAACAUGUCUCAGGCCAAAAUAAACAGUAUUACCUGAUAGAUGUAUGCACUAAACAUUAAUAUAUUAUAAUGAACAGAGCUACAUUGCUGCCCAAAUGAUCAUAUACAGAUCAUACAACAGUGUAAUCUGUUUAUCACGAUACCAAAUAUCUUACGUUCUGGCUUUUUCUAUAGAGUAUCAUCAGUUAACAUUCAGAAUUAAUGCGCCCCAUCCAGCCAGCUGCCCAAGCCAGAGGGUUUUUUCCCAGUCAACCCAUAAACACCUAGUGGAGAAGUCUUAGCUAUUUAAUAUCUCCAUCCAUGUGUCUCCAUCCCCAUUGUUACCACUUAGGUCAACUCUUGAAUUCACAUUUCUCAUUCAGGUUCCAUUAAGCUCCUAAGCGAGCUCCACACACCCACUGAUGCCUCUUUAAUACAUUCUCCACUCUGCAUCCAGAGGCAUCUUCUAAUAGUAUAAAUAUGUCAUUGUUCUGCUGAAAACCGUUUGAUGAUCCACUAUAUUCUUCAAGGCUAUUCAUAAUCUGGCAAUACAGUGGAGCCAUCAAGAACUUGGGCCCUAAAGCCAGACAGUCUAGGUACAAAUCUUGGCUCUAACACCAGAUGUGGUUCUGGGAAUUCACUUUAUGUCCCUGCUUCUCAAUUUUUCCUUCUGUAAAAUAAUUAAUGUAAUAUUAGUGUUGCAUUAAUAUGGUUGGGAUUAAAAGAGGUAAUGCUUAUAAAGCCCUUAGUCCAGUGUCUGGCACACACAUAGUACACAUUCCAUAAAAAUAAUCUGUUAUCAUGUCUUGAGUUCUGUGUUCUCUACAGUUAAAACAAACUGCUGGCACUCUCUGAAGACAUUAUUCUGCCUCUGGAUGCUAUCUUUACAUGUGCUGCUUCCUCAGGCAGGAAACCAGUCUUCUCCCAUGGCCCCAACACCACUUUCUCUAGUUGAUUCCCACAUUUAACCUUUAAAAAAUCAUGGAGAUUGAAUGUCCUCCUAAAAGCCUUUCCUCACUUUCUGCCAUCUAGGUUUAAUUCAUAUACUCAUGGAGUAGUCCAUACAUAACACUACUCUAGGGCCUUAUAGAUUAUAUUGCAAUUGUCUGCCUAAUGGCCUAUAACCCCACGUGGGUUAUAAGCUCUUUGGAGGUCAACAAUAUAACUAUUUGUCUCUGUAUCAUUAGUUCAUUUUUUGUUUUUUUGAGAAACAGUCUCACUUUGUCUAGGAGGCUGGAGUGUAGUGGUGAUCUCAGCUCACUGCAACCUCUACUUCCUGGGUUCAAGCAAUUCUCUGCCUCAGCCUCCCAAGUAGCUGGGCCUACAGGCAUGCACAACCAUGCCUGGCUGAUUUUUGUAUCUUUUAUAGAGAUGGGGUUUCAAUGUGUUGGCAAGGCUGGUCUCCAACUCCUGGUUUCAAGUUAUCCACCGGCCUCUGCCUCCCAAAGUGCUGGGAUUACGGGCAUGAGCCACCACGCCCAGCCUCAUUAGCUCACUUUUGCACUGCUAUAAAGAAAUACCUGAAACUGGGUAAUUUAUGAAGAAAAGAGGUUUAAUUGGCUCAUGGUUCUGCAGGCUGUACAGGAAGCAUGGCUGGGGAAGCCUCAGGAAACUUACAAUCAUGGAGGAAGGUGAAGGGGAAGCAGGCAUCUCUUCAUAUAGGCAGUGCAGGAGCAACAAAGGUGGAGGGAGGUGCUACAUACUUUUAAACAACCAGAUCUUGAAAUAACUCAUUCACUAUCACCAGAACAGCACCAAAGAGGAAACCUGCUCCCAUGAGCCAAUCACCUCCCAUCAAGCCCCAUCUCCCACAUUGGGGUUUACAAUUUAACAUGAGAUUUGACAGGGACACAGACCCAAACCAUAUCACACAGUGACUGAAGAUAAGCAAAGGAGAAGUAGCAGGAAUAAAGAUUCUGUAGACUUAGAUGAAUCUGAGAAAAAGAAGACUGUCUAAGGGUCUCAAUCAUCAAGUGCAUGGUCAUAUGCGAGUACUUAGAACUGUAUCUUUUUCUCACCAGAUAAAAUCCAAACUAAUUAUAUUCAAAUGUAGAAUAUGAAACCAUACUAGUACAAGAAGAAAACAUGGGCUAACUCCUUUAUGGCCUGAGAAAGGGGACAACAUUCACAAUUAUGAUUCAAAAUCUAGAAUCAGUAAGGGAA
rnacentral:lncRNA from 10 species